rnacentral:misc_RNA from 1 species
AAGUCGUAACAAGGUUUCCGUAGGUGAACCUGCGGAAGGAUCAUUUCCGAACAAAUAUUGUACCAACUCACUGUGUGCACUGUUGAUUCCUUUUUUCCUCUCCUUGCCAUGUUACAUAAAGGUUCCAAUGCCUAGGCACGAAGAACCUUUGAUUUAUAACCUCUGGCGGGGGAGGCCAUGUUGAACUACCUUACAAGAAAGGUUGAUGAUCAGGAUAUUUUUUGAGAUCGUGCUAUAAAUUGCACGGUAGCAAAAGACAAUUGAUUGACAACUUUUAACGGUGGAUCUCUUGGCUCGU